UGGGGAAUCUUGCGCAAUGCGCGAAAGCGUGACGCAGCAACGCCGCGUGGGGGAAGAAGGCCUUCGGGUUGUAAACCCCUUUCAGUUGGGACGAAGCUCCGUCGGUGAAUAGCCGGCUGGAGUGACGGUACCUUCACAAGAAGCCCCGGCUAACUACGUGCCAGCAGCCGCGGUAAUACGUAGGGGGCUAGCGUUGUCCGGAAUCAUUGGGCGUAAAGAGCGUGUAGGCGGCCCGGUAAGUCCGCUGUGAAAGUCGGGGGCUCAACCCUCGAAAGCCGGUGGAUACUGUUGGGCUAGAGGGCGGAAGAGGCGAGUGGAAUUCCUGGUGUAGCGGUGAAAUGCGCAGAUAUCAGGAGGAACACCGAUUGCGAAGGCAGCUCGCUGGGACGUAACUGACGCUGAGACGCGAAAGCGUGGGGAGCAAACAGG
rnacentral:rRNA from 1 species